rnacentral:rRNA from 1 species
GCUGGCGGCAGGCCUAACACAUGCAAGUCGAGCGGUAACAUUUCUAGCUUGCUAGAAGAUGACGAGCGGCGGACGGGUGAGUAACGCGUAGAAAUCUACCUAGUAGUGGGGGAUAGCCCAGAGAAAUUUGGAUUAAUACCGCAUACGCCCUCCGGGGGAAAGCGGGGGAUCUUCGGACCUCGUGCUAUUAGAUGAGUCUGCGUCGGAUUAGCUUGUUGGUGAGGUAAUGGCUCACCAAGGCGACGAUCCGUAGCUGGUCUGAGAGGAUGACCAGCCACACUGGAACUGAGACACGGUCCAGACUCCUACGGGAGGCAGCAGUGGGGAAUAUUGCACAAUGGGCGCAAGCCUGAUGCAGCCAUGCCGCGUGUGCGAAGAAGGCCUUAGGGUUGUAAAGCACUUUCAGCAGUGAGGAAAGGGGUGUCGUUAAUAGCGCCAUCCUGUGACGUUAACUGCAGAAGAAGGACCGGCUAACUCCGUG